UACGUAGGGUGCAAACGUUGUCCGGAAUUAUUGGGCGUAAAGAGCUCGUAGGCGGUCUGUCGCGUCGAAUGUGAAAACCCGGGGCUCAACCCCGGGCCUGCAUUCGAUACGGGCAGACUAGAGUUCGGUAGGGGAGUCUGGAAUUCCUGGUGUAGCGGUGAAAUGCGCAGAUAUCAGGAGGAACACCGGUGGCGAAGGCGGGACUCUGGGCCGAUACUGACGCUGAGGAGCGAAAAGCGUGGGGGAGCAAACAGG
rnacentral:rRNA from 1 species